GUGCACCGCCUGGCCCAGGAGCCCUCCGGCUUCCGGGUCGUGGCCGUCGAGCACCUCCAGCUCCACGGCGAAGGGCGUUUGCACGUCCCGCUUCACCAGCCGCAGCAAGGGCUUCUCGGGCUCUAAAGCCCAGAGGAGCCCCAUGGGCUCGAGCCCCGUGAAGCUGCCGCCCAGCGCGGGCGCGCGCUCCAGGUCCAGCUGGCCGUGGGCGUCGGCGCAGUAGCGCGCGUGGGCUCGGAAGAGCUCGUCCUUCUCGUCGCGCAGGGACGCGCGCAGCGUGACCGGCUGCCCCGGGGCCAGGCCGCGCACGGCGAUGUGCACGGGCUCGUCCCAGCGGCAGCGGCCUGCAGGCUCCAGCGUUACCGUCGCCGCCAUCUGGAUCCCAGCAGAGAAGGGGCGGCCCGGCGGAGUCAAGGGCAGGGCCUGGUGUCUCUCCACCUCCCUGGGAGGCAGUCGCAAUUGGAACGUUUGCGCUACUCCCGUUGGGCGACCGAAGGGACACUUGCUAAACCGCUUUGUGAGGUCACCUGGAGUUUGUGCAGUCCACUACUGCCUGCCUGGAAGAGUAUCUGCUAAAAUAAGAGUUUUAUGGUAAUUAUUAAUCCUGCGGUCCAAUAUGGCGAGUGUCGAAAUAGAAGUACGAAGAUUGCUGACAGCUAAAGGAUUGGGAAAGAUACCGGGCAGUUCCAAGUUUGAGUAUUGUUGACUUUAAAAAAUGCACAGCGUGAAGAGUUAGCUAAGGAUACCUACAAUGGCUUCCAGAGCAGGGAGAUGUUUCUGGAGAGAGAACUUCCUGGGCUCCAGUCUGAUCCUGCUCCUUAAUAGCGUGGUGAUUCUUAGCAAGGCAACUUCAUGAUUCCAUCUUCCCAAAACUUUUUAUCUUUUUGAGCAAAGA